UACAGAGGGUGCGAGCGUUGUUCGGAAUUAUUGGGCGUAAAGGGCGCGUAGGCGGUGCGGUAAGUCACCUGUGAAAUCUCCUGGCUCAACUGGGAGCUUGCAGGCGAAACUGCCGUGCUGGAGUGUGGGAGAGGUGAGUGGAAUUCCCGGUGUAGCGGUGAAAUGCGCAGAUAUCAGGAGGAACACCAAUGGCGAAGGCAGCACUCUGGGACGGUACUGACGCUGAGACGCGAAAGCGUGGGGAGCAAACAGG
rnacentral:rRNA from 1 species